UAGCUCAGUAGGUAAAGCAUCUGCCUGCAAUGUAGGAGACCUGGGUUCAAUUCCUGG
rnacentral:tRNA from 1 species